rnacentral:rRNA from 1 species
AGAGUUUGAUCCUGGCUCAGGACGAACGCUGGCGGCGUGCUUAACACAUGCAAGUCGAGCGAUGAAGCACCUUCGGGUGUGGAUUAGCGGCGAACGGGUGAGGAACACGUGAAGAAUCUGCCUUCAACUCUGGGAUAACUCCGGGAAACCGGGGCUAAUACCGGAUAUGAGCCUUGGCCGCAUGGCCGGGGCUGGAAAGUUUUUCGGUUGAAGGUGACUUCGCGGCCUAUCAGCUUGUUGGUGAGGUAACGGCUCACCAAGGCGACGACGGGUAGCCGGCCUGAGAGGGCGACCGGCCACACUGGGACUGAGACACGGCCCAGACUCCUACGGGAGGCAGCAGUGGGGAAUAUUGGGCAAUGGAGGAAACUCUGACCCAGCGACGCCGCGUGAGGGAUGAAGGCCUUCGGGUUGUAAACCUCUUUCAGUAGGGAAGAAGCGAAAGUGACGGUACCUACAGAAGAAGCACCGGCUAACUAUGUGCCAGCAGCCGCGGUAAUACAUAGGGUGCAAGCGUUGUCCGGAAUUAUUGGGCGUAAAGAGCUCGUAGGUGGUUCGAUACGUCGGAUGUGAAAAUCAGGGGCUCAACCCCUGACCUGCAUUCGAUACGGUCGAGCUAGAGUUUGGUAGGGGAGACUGGAAUUCCUGGUGUAGCGGUGGAAUGCGCAGAUAUCAGGAGGAACACCGAUGGCGAAGGCAGGUCUCAGGGCCAAUACUGACACUGAGGAGCGAAAGCGUGGGGAGCGAACAGGAUUAGAUACCCUGGUAGUCCACGCCGUAAACGGUGGGCGCUAGUUGUGCGAACCUUCCACGGUUUGUGCGACGCAGCUAACGCAUUAAGCGCCCCGCCUGGGGAGUACGAUCGCAAGAUUAAAACUCAAAGGAAUUGACGG